GACGAACGCUGGCGGCGCGCUUAACACAUGCAAGUCGAACGGAAAGGCCUGCUUUCCCUUGUGGAUUGCGGGUACUCGAGUGGCGAACGGGUGAGUAACACGUGAGUGAUCUGCCCCCAACUUGGGUAUAAGCCUGGGAAACUGGGUCUAAUUCCCGAUAGGACUGCAGGGUGGUGCCUGUGGUGGAAAACGAUUUUCUAGUGGUUGGGGAUGAGCUCGCGGCCUAUCAGCUUGUUGGUGGGGUAAUGGCCUACCAAGGCGGCGACGGGUAGCCGGCCUGAGAGGGUGGACGGCCACAUUGGGACUGAGAUACGGCCCAGACGCCUACGGGAGGCAGCAGUGGGGAAUAUUGCGCAAUGGGCGGAAGCCUGAUGCAGCGACGCAGCGUGGGGGAUGACGGCCUUCGGGUUGUAAGCUCCUUUCGACCGCGAGGAAGCCACCUGGUUGGAAGGGUGGUGACGGUAGUGGUAGAAGAAGCACCGGCUAACUACGUG
rnacentral:rRNA from 1 species